CGUUGGUCUGAAGGUAGUGAGUUAUCUCAAUUGAUUGUUCACAGUUAGUUACAAAUUGAACUCCUCAUUCUACUUUACUUUCCCCCCCUUUUCAUGAAAGCACUUGACUAGUCUUAA
ensembl:misc_RNA Y_RNA Y RNA